rnacentral:lncRNA from 1 species
CCCAAUACUCCAAUUUUCCCAAUAGGCCCAUAUUCACAAGUAUUCCCCUUCCCCUUCUUCAAAUAGCCUAUUGUCACAAGACCAAAGUUGCAUUUCAUGGCUAAACAACUCAAGCACCAAAGUCAGUUGUUUAUGUGAGUUUUGGACCGUUGCCAAAAGAAGAAGCUCAAUUUUUGGAGAUAGCUUGGGGACUAUGCAAUAGAACCAACCUUUCUUGUGGGUGGUUCGACCUGGAUUUAGUCCAUGGAUUGAAUUGCCCGAACAAUUACCUAGUGGGUGUCGAGACUUUGAAUGGGAGGGGACACAUGUGAAAUGGGCGCCACAAAAAGAAGUGUUGCCCAUCUGGCAGUUGGACCUUUUGACCCACAAUGGUUGGAAUUCUACAUUCGAGAGUGUUUUUGUGAGGGGGUCCCCAUGAUUUGUACGCCAAGUUUCGCCGAUCAAAUGGUUCUUGCAAGAUAUGCGAGUGAAGUUUGGAAGGUCGGGUUGCAGAUUGAAGAUGGGAUUGAGAGAGGUGUGAUUGAAAAAGCAAUUAGGAGAGUAAUGGUGGAGAAGGAAGGGGAAGAGAUGAGACACAGAGCCUUGAAGCUAAUGGAGAAGGCAAAUCUUUGCCUCAAGCAAGGUGGCUCCUCAAACCAAUCUUUGGAUGGGUUGGUUAAACACAUUUUAUCAUUCAAACCAUUUGGUGUUCUACAAGAAUAACAUAUAAAUAGUGCAUCAAAACUGUUUUGUUCCUAUUUUUUUGUCAAACGAUAUAUUUUGUUAGAUUAAUCACUGACGGGAUUUAAAUCUACGUCGUCAUGUAAGGACUCAAUACAUUUCCACCACUAUUGCUCUUUUAAUUUGACAUUUCUAACAACAAUUUUUAUUUUAUUUUUUAUCACAAAUUAACAUUUAUUUAAAACACGGGCCAAUCCAAAAAAGGCAAAAACCCAACAUAGAUUAAGGAAAUCCAAGUAGACAGAGCCCAGCUCAAUAAGCCCAAAAAAGUGUUUAUUCUAACAAACUAUGAAUAUAUAUAUAAUAUAUAUAUAUAUAUAUAUAUUUUAGACAACGAUAGCAGUAAUAGGUCAAAUUAUUAGUUGUUAAAAUGUGAAGAAAAUCGGUAUAGAUCGAACCAGUAUGAUAAUGCAUUAUCAGGAAUGAGGAUCAUCUUUGGAUCUACUUUGUGAAAAUCUAGGAGAUUAUUUAAUCGUGUCUGUUUAUCAUAAAUCUUGUAGUCAAUUUUUAUGAGAUACUAUUUGUGUUAAAUUUUAAAUAAAAUAUUUAAAAUAAUUUAUGAUUACAUGAUAUACGAUAAAUAUAUAAAUUAACGAGUCACCGAAAUCCUAAAAAACAGGACCUAUCCUAUCCUCAUUCCAUUAUCAGAAUUACUUUAUGCAAAUGGGAUCCAAGAUUUCCUCCACUAUCUUAUCCUCAACGCCAAGUUUCUUGCACAACCACUGAAUGCUCUCGAUUCUUAAAAAGAGGACCUAUCCUAUCCUCAUUCCAUUAUCAGAAUUACUUUAUGCGCGAUUCUUAAAAGUCGUGAGCCUGUAGUUCAGAAAAGAAAAAAAACAUCAACAUCAGUGACCCAUUCAGUCAGAAAAAGUUUUAGGAGUAGCGUGAGUAAAUUUGAGACGGCUGCUAAAAAGUUCGUCUUCGGUUCGGAUUUUUUUAUUUUUUAUUUUUUUUUAAGGAUAAUACCAAAUGAACAAGGACUUGGAUUCUCUGCCUCCCAUUUUAGUGCCCUCCCCGUACCCUCCUGUUUUGUGUGGUCACGGUUAAGCCACGUUAAUAUUUUAUAUUAUUUUUUUAUAAAAAUAAUAAAACAAAAAGAAAUAUUAAUAUAAAAUGUUGACAUGGCUUAACCGUGAUCACAAAAACAAGAGGGCACGAGGAGGGUACCAAAAUUGGAGGGCAGACAAUCCAAGUCCAAUGAACAAAGUUGCUUAAAAAAUACAGAAGUUCAUGCUCUCACUCAAUAACGAGAAAUUUUUUAAUGUGAUCGAAAUAUGGGAUGGUACACCACGUAUCACUAUAGAAAUGAUGGAAUAUAUAUAUUAAAAAGUUAAUAAUUUAAAAAUUACAAUUUUCCAUAACUUAUAUAAAAAUAAGUGAUGUACCAUCCGUAUUCCGGUUACAAUGAAAAUUUUCUCCAAUAAUAGCUUAACUAGUAUCCGAGUUGUUUGUUCAAGCUCUAAAUUUUCAAUGAUUUUGGACACUCAUCAAGUUGUUACUGGGUGAGAGCUCCUGCUUGUUUUUUUAAGUAACCAAGCUUUAUUAAUACCAAAUUCAUAUGCUAAGCAAACAAAAAACAAUCUCGAUUCAAAAAUGGAGCAAAGCAAAGGCAGGAGACUGAUCCUUUGCCCACUGCCAUUGCAAGGGCAUAUAAACCCUAUGCUGGAACUGGCCAAAAUUCUCCAUUCCAAAGGCUUCUCCAUAGCCAUCAUCCACACCAACUUCAACUCCCUCAAUCCUUCAACCCGAAACCCACACUUCACCUACCAUUCAAUCCCUGUUGACUUGACAGAAACCGAGGCCUCCAUCAAGGAUCUCACCGUUGUUCUUUCUAUUCUAAAUGCUAAAUGUGUUGAGCCUUUCAGAGAAUGCUUGGCCGGGUUGUUAUCCGAUGGCGUUCAUUCGGGGAACCCCAUUGCAUGCUUGAUCUCCGACCCUUUCUUUGACUUCACUCGAUCGGUUGCGGAGAGCUUUGAACUGCCGACGAUCAUGUUAAGGACUGGGAGUGCCGCUUCCUUGGCUGUUUAUGCUGCAUUUCCACUACUCAAGGAAAAGGGUUACCUACCAAUAUCAGGUAAAAUCUCAAGCCAACAAAACCCUGUUAUUACAUGUGUUUUAAUUUCAUCAUUGCACAUCUAAAUAAUAUGAGUAGAAUGAGGACACUGUACCGAGACUAAUGUCUCGUUUAGAAUUCUUUCUAUAAGUAAUAUUGUUGUUUUUUAUUCGUAAGAGAUUAUAAAAUGCUUUUGUUAUAAACAUGUCAAAAAUUUUAUUAAAAACUCAAGUGCUUCUUGGCAAAAACUUCGAAGUGAUUCUUCUUCUUCUUUAGAAAUAACUACAGAUCCAAAAAUGUUUUGGUAACUACAAAACACUUUUUAACUUUUCUAGAAGCGAUCCCAAAUUGGUACAUAAACAACUUAUGCAGAUUUGGAGUUGAGCAAUGAUACCCUUACCAUCUAUUUGUGUCAUCGCUCUAAUAAAGGUAGAACGUACCAACACAUGUGGUCUUAUCUCUAUUAGAGAGAUGAUACAAAUGAUGAUAUAAAUAGAUCGUAAACGUAGUAUUUUUGUUUGGAUUAAGAUAACUAGCUAGGUUAGCAUGUUUAGAGCAUUUCCAAUGAGGGACUCUAUAUGAAGCUAGAAAAGUGGUGGAUAUAGCUCAAUUUAGAGCUUCAAGGAAUCUUUAAGACUCUAAAAAUGAAUCUCUUACAAUGAGGGGCUAUAUACCCUUUUGGCUCUAUACGAGGCUAAAUACCUUUCAAGCUCUAUAUAGGCUAUAUAUUUAUGUAUGUAAUAAUUUGAUUAAUAAUUUGAUAACGCUGUAAAUUUAUUGUUAUCUUAACUUUUCUUAAGUUGGUUUUGGACGUGUUACCUUAAAUAUUUUAUGAACUUUUCAACCAAAAAACAUUUCAAAUUCUGACAAAAUUAGAUUUCAUCACCUAUGCACCGUUAGAUUAGGUUUUCUUAUCUUAAUCUCAUCCGUUGAUUUAUGUAUCGGUUUAGGUCUCUAAACUACCAAUGUUAAAUUUCAUCACUUUUUUUGUGAACUUUUCAAUCUAGAAGAUUAAGCAAAAAGCACAACAUUUUUUUCUUAAUUAAUAACACAGAAUAUAGCCAUUGUUUGUUUAUGUUUUCUUGAUUAAACAAAGUUGAAAAUAAAUUCUGAAAUCAUGUUUUGGCAGGAUUAGAAAUGGACCCCAUUUCUAAACUAAAAAACAAAAAAGAAACCAAGAUUGCGCUCUUAAUUUGGUGUGGGGUCUCUUGCUUUUUGGUGCUAGAUGUAGCCUUUUUUUUUUGCUACCAAAAUAAUGAAAUUGCUAGCCCAUGUGACAGAAUUAGCCUUAUUUUCCAGUUCAUUGGAGAUGAAAUUUUUCAUUAAAGCUACAAAUAUGGUAGCCUCGUUGAGGAUAAAGUUCCUAUUGAUGAUACUCUUAUCCUAUGCUCUCCCUCAUAAAUUAACAUUUUAGAAUAUGCACUAUCUUGUUAAAAGACAAAAUAUAUGUACUUACUAGAAAACUUGUGUUUGGCUUUCUAUUUUGACAGAAUAUAUAUAUAUAUAUAUAUAUAUAUAUAUAUAUAUAUAUAUAUAUAUAUAUAUACACUUGCUCAAAGUGUUUUAAUUGGAGUAGUGCUAUUCAUACACUAUUAGUAUUUUUUACUUUCCACAUAUCUAUAUUAGUUUAUAUUUAUUGAUUUUCUUCAAUUCAUUUGAUUCGACAGUCAGAUAUUAAGAGGGGUAUAUGAGAGAUAAAAUAGAUGUGUGUAUGGCACCCUUUAAUUGCCUAAAUUUAUAAUACAUGGUUGACUUGACUAUGUCUAUGUGUAUUAUUUAUUAGUCCAAAUAACUGAGUAAGGAUAUGAAGUGCUAGUCGUAACUUUCUCGUAGUGAUUACUUUGCCGAAAUAUUAGUCUUUUUAUUAAUCUUUUUUACAUAAUAUUACUUACUCACGUAUUAUAGAAAGAAUGUACCAAGAUUUAGACAAUUUAUUUUUGACUUUUUAUUUUGACAAUAAUUAGAUUCUCGGCUAGAAAUACCAGUGGCAGAGCUUUCACCUCUCAAAGUUAAAGACCUACCAACGAUGACGAAUUGCGACCCUGAGGUUUUUUAUCAAGUGAUAACCAACAUGGCAAAUGAACCCAAGGCUUCUUAUGGACUAAUUUUCAAUACUUUUGAAGAUCUUGAAGGACAUGCACUUGCCACAAUUCGCCAAAAAUAUUACCCCAAUAUUCCAAUUUUCUCACUAGGUCCAUUUCACAAGUGUGGUCCCACAACCUCUUCUUCUUCAAGUAGUUUAUUAGCACAAGACCAAAGUUGCAUUUCAUGGCUAGACACUCAAGCGCCAAAAUCUGUUGUUUAUGUUAGCUUUGGGAGCAUUGCUAGUAUAGAUCAAGCUCAAUUUUUGGAGAUUGCUUGGGGGUUGGUCAAUAGUGGCCAACCUUUUUUGUGGGUGGUUCGACUUGGAUUAGUUCAAGAGUCGAACUGGCUUGAAAAGUUGCCUAACGAGUUUACAGAAGCGUUGAACAAGAGGGCCCAUGUUGUGAAAUGGGCUCCACAAAAAGAAGUGUUGGCCCACCCAGCAGUUGGAGCCUUUUGGACUCACUGUGGUUGGAAUUCUACAUUGGAGAGCAUUUGUGAAGGGAUCCCUAUGAUUUGUACGCCAUGUUUUGGUGAUCAAAUGGUAAAUGCAAGAUAUGUGAGCGAUGUUUGGAAGGUAGGGUUGCAGUUGGAGCAUGGGAUUGAGAGAGGUGAGGUUGAAAGAACAAUUAGAAGACUCAUGGUGGAGGAAGAAGGGGAAGAGAUCAAAGACAGAGCCUUAAAGUUGAUGGAGGAGGCAAAUCUUUGCCUCAAAGGUGGUGGCUCUUCAUACCAGUCUUUGGAUGGGUUAAUUCAACAUAUUUUAUCAUUAUAAAUCGUUUGUUUCUAAAACUCAGCAUUGUUAUUGAAUAAAAUAAAAAAUAUUGUUGGUCUGCACUCUCCGGAUCUUUUCCACCAAGACACACAAUCCAGAUUUUUGAAAUUUGAUCAAACAGUUACAAAUAAAGGCUUACUUUAAAAAUUAUAAUAACUUUAGUCAUUGGAUCAAAUUUCAAAGGUCCGGAUUUUGUGCCUUGGUAAACUUGGUGGAAAGGAUCCGGCGUCUGCAACAUGUGUAUGUGUGUACAUAAAUUGGGGCUUUUAGCAAUGGAUUUUUCAAAGAUUAACCACACUUUUUUAAAAACCAUAUAUAUAUCGUGGAUAUUAUUAAUAGGAUGUUGAUAUUAACCACACUUCCGGCCAAGGAUUGGCUCUGAUACCAAAUUGUCACAUCCCGGCCUGGGCCCCCACCACAUCCCGGACUCGACUCUACCGUAGCACAAUAUUGUCCACUUUGGGCCUUUACCACGCCCUCACGGUUUUGUUUCUGGGAACUCACACGAGAACUUCCCAAUGGGUCACCUAUCAUGGGAUUGCUCUCAUGCGAACUCGUUUAACUUCAGAGUUCCGAUAGAACCCGAAGCCAGUGAGCUCCCAAAAGGUCUCGUGCUAGGUAGAGAUGAGAAUAUACAUAUAAGACUAACAUGAUCCACUCCCCUGGGCGAUGUGGGAUGUCACAUCAUUCCUUCAGAAUCCAAAUACCAUCCCAUAGUUAGGAGUCCAAUUGCUCCAAAUUUCGGAAUUGGAUUCCAAAAUUUAUGUGGGACCCACUAAUUUUUUAUUCCCUUAGAUUUGGUAAACACCGGAGUAUUCCGUAAUUAGAAUUCAAUUCUGUUUCUUGAUGCCGAUUAUCCUUACGUAAACGUGCCCUAAGUGCCUAACACACACAGACUCCCUGUAAUGGUAGGAGAGAAAAGGUCAGAGAUUGAUUUAUAAAAUAGAAAACUUUAUUUUAAUCCUUAAAAAAGAUGAGUUUUAAAUUAUAACCUUAUGUAAGAUUAAAAUCUAAUUUUAAUCUAUGAUACAUUUAAUCAUCUCAUUUAUUAAUUACAUUUUGAUGUUUUAUUUCUUUUUUCUUUCUUUCCUAUUUUAAAUGUAUUAAUUACAUUUAAUUUUCAUUUUCAUUUCAGUCAUCAUAAUAUAUUUUGAUGUCUCCAUUUAGGUAAACUAAUUUUUUAUAUAAUAUAUUCGAAUACAAUUUGUAUAAUCUUUCAUUUAGAUACAUUAAUUCAUUUGAUAUAUUUCAGUAUAUCCAUCAAUACAAAUAUAUAGGUACAUUAAUUCAAUAUAAUACAUUUCGGUACGUAAAUUUUGGUACACUAAUUCAAUAUAAUAUAUUUUAGUACAUACAUUUCGGUAUUGAUAUUUAAGUACAGUAAUUCAAUAUAAUACAUUUUGGUACAUACAUUUAGGUUCAUUAUAAUAUAUGUAGGUACACAUUUCAGUACAGUCAUUUAUGUACACAUAUAUUUACAUAUUUAUGUGUCACUAAUUUCUUUUAAUAUUUUCUCGUUUAUGUUCAUUUAUAAUUGAAAGAACUAAUAUGUGCAUAUCAAUAAAAUUAAAAUUUUAAUGUGAAGACAUUAAAUAACAAAAAUAGAAUAUAAAUCUUAAUAAAAGUACAGAGAUUAAAUUAAAUAUGUAAUCUAGCAUCAAGGUUUUUUUUUUUUUUAAUUCUAAUAUUUUGCAAGGACUAAUGUUCAAAAACCCCUUCCCCUUAUAAAAUUAGGCACAGAGAUUGUGACAUAUGCCCUAGCUUCCAAUUAGCUAGUAUAAAUAAAGAACUUUUGUGAUUGAUUAGUCACAACAUUUUCAAGCCAAGCAACCACAUAAUCCCUCUAAUGGAGCAGAGCAAACACCGGAGAGUGAUACUCUUCCCCUUGCCUUUUCCUGCAUCACAUAUAAACCCAAUGCUGCAACUGGCCAACAUUCUACACACCAAAGGCUUCUCCAUAACCAUUAUCCACACCAACUUCAACUCUCAUAACUUCAACCCAUCAGCCCAUCCACACUUCACGUUUAUCUCAAUCCCUGACGGCUUAUCUGAAUCCGAGGCGGCCACCAAUAACAUUCUCCAUCUUUUCUCUCUUCUGAAUGUCAAAUGUGUUGAACAGUUCCGCGAAUGCUUGGCUAGCUUGUUAUCUGCUGACGCUAACUCAGAGGAGCCUAUUGCUUGCUUAAUUUCUGAUAAACAUUCUAUAAUAUACUAUUUAUUUUUAUUAUUGUCUAGGUAACAAUUUUUGAUAUUUUCUUUAUCUUUAUGGUCCGAAUUUUUUUAAUCCAUAUAUGUAGUUACAUAAUAUAAUUUUUACAUUCUGUGUUCACCUUCUACCACCAGCAAAUUUUGAAGAGGUGUUCAUCAAUAUUUUUGAAUAUAUUGAUAUACUUUUCAAAUUGUUAGGCCACGGAAGCUACUAUACUUGGCCAUAGGUGAGAAAGUUUGAAUUUUGUUUUUGAUCUUGUAGUGUUUAAUAAAUUCAUGAGACUUUUAUACGCUGUUUGCUUUCCCUAAUCAAUUGCAGUGCAGUUGAGAUAUGUGUUCUUAUAUAUGUGUUGCACUUAAUGAUAUAAACUAGAAAUAUUGCAUGUAAUGGUAUAAGUUCUAAUUUUUGUUGUAGAUGGAGAAGCUGAGAAGACAAUUUGAAUUGGAAAGCAAACAAGUCCUACCAAAGCAGCAGUCCGAAGUAUCAUAUUCUAAUAUAAUAAAAUCAAAUAAUUAAAUAAAUAAAAUUUAAAAAAUACUAAUUUAAUUAUUUCGGUUCGGUUUGGUUCGGUUUCUAGACCACCAAAACCGAACCGAACCAAAAGAGUUCGGUUCGGUUCGGUUUUUUCAAUUCGGUUCGGUUUUUUCGUUCGGUUCGAUUUUUUCGGUUUCGGUUCGGUUCGGUUUUCGGUUUUUUGAACCCACCCCUAAUUGCCAAAGGAGAUGGCCUCGUCCAACUAUUUAGGAAAAAACUUAAAAUGUAAUCUGUUUGUACCAUACUUGACCAAUCCCGAAACUACCGAGCACCGGCCAACGCUAUACUGUCAAGGACCCAGAAGAGUUCCCCUCCGACCAGGAGGCCAAUCACUACUCGACACGUGUCAAGAUUAGAAGCCAAUCAGAGCGCAGCACGUGUCGACAUCAAGAACCAAUCAUAACAUGACACAUGUCAAUGUGACAAAGCUACAAGUUUUUCUAUAAAUAGGGGUCAUUCCCCCACAAUAUUGCCUAAUGCCAUUUUGUGUUAAAUCAUUCACAAGAACUCACUAAAUUGAGAGCUUGAUCCUUUGUACUUGUGUAAGCCCUUCACUACUAAUAAGAACUCCUCUACUCCGUGGACGUAGCCAAUCUGGGUGAACCACGUACAUCCUGUGUUUGCUUCUCUGUCUCUAUUCAUUUACGUACUUAUCCUCACUAGUGACGGAAGCAACCAAGCGAAGGUCACAAAACCUGACACUUUCUGUUGUACCAAAGUCUUCGCUGAUUUUGUGCAUCAACAUAAUCGAAAUCGAGAGACUCCCUCAAAAGGGGAUUAGAUUCUUUCCCCUAAAUCGCAAAUGAAGUGCGUGCAACAACUCUCAUUGUUUCUGCCUCGGACUGUAUUGCUCUUUUUUUUUUUUUGUCAAAUGAUAGAUUUUGUUAGAUUAGUCACCAACGGAAUUUGAACUCAUGCCUUCAUACAAUGGGUCAACACCUUUCCACCAUUGUGGUAAAGGGGCCACUUGCAGGACACCAAAAGAUGAACUAAAAUGUGUAAUCUGAGCCCUCAGAUUACUCAAAAAGUCAUUGCUCAUUGUUCAUUUGGUUUAGAUAUUAAUAGUGUCACUGUUGUUUUAAGUUACAACAAACUAAUUAAGUCUGAGUGGUCAAAUAGUAUUUCUCCAAGUUGAAUGAAAUUUGCAUUCUAUUGAGAAAAAUGCGUUCUCUUCUUCUUUUAACAAAUUCAAUAUCGAAUAAAACUUGCUCACUGUUUGGAGUAUUUUCUAACAACCCACACAAAACAAUAAGCAUGAAGAUCACAGUUACCUACCAGGCAAAAUAGUCAAAUACAGAUGUGUACCACAAUAGAUCUUUUACAUAUCUCAAAACCAUAUACAUCAUUUGACAUAGGAUUCAUCAUAGUAUUUGGUAGAGAGAAUUUUUUUUUUGUUUACACCACAACACCGACACCAUAAAUAUUAGCAACAAAGGCAGUCAAUCCCUUUCAUUAUGCAGCCUAUAACAGGAAAAAAUAGAAAGCUCAAAUAUGUCUGCUUACUUUACAAUAGUAGAUGUUGUACUAAUAAUUUAGGACGCUCUUCUCUCCAAAUUUUCUCAAAUAACUAUCAUUUUCGUAUAGCUCGUAUGAAUGCAACUCGAAAAAUUGCUCGGAAGAAAUAUAUACAAACAAAAGCAAACUAAAAGUAAGCUAUUGAAAGAAAUUUAGAAACACACAAACAUCACAACAACUCAGACUUAAAACUCAACAAACACCAAAUAGUAGAAACUGAAUAUAUAUAUGCUCUUGAAUCGAGAACUUCAUCAAACGAACAACAAUCAAUCUAAUACAAUCUGUCAAAAACCAAAAGGGAAAGAGAGAAUUUCAAGGCCCUGUAAUGUCGAGGCCUCGUACGGUAACACAAUAAUCUUGUACAAUUAUACAAUUUCAAGGCCUUGACACAAAAUAAUUGCGAAAUGCCUUUUUUUAAUCACGGCAUGCUGCACGCGACUCACAUUUUAAACAUAUUUAUCUGCGUGAAUUGCUUCACUUGUUUUGUAUUUCAUUAUUUUCUUUCUUUAUGAGACAUAUUAGAAACAUUAAAGAAAAGCGAUCAUCAUGUCACAUAAUACAGAGAGCAAUUCAAAGUUUACAAAAGUUGAGGGAGAAUAUUUGAUAGAGUUAAAACAUUGUUCAUACCAGGUAGGACAAAACCCCAAACGGAGGAAAAAGACAUCCUAACAUUGAGAACAAUUUAUUUAAGAAGAUGACAACUUUGGCUAUAUUGCUCCUAUCAUUUCUCUCCAUACUUGAUAUGUUGAACUCCAGUUGAAAACUUUUUGUAUUCCUACAUAAAAAUAAAUAAAUAAAUAAACACAAUAAUUUAUUUGACAAAGGAAAUGAGCACAUAAGGGAAAAAAUUACUGUAACAGUUAACUAACAUAUGAAAGUGAUACUAUCCUUGAAAAUCAUGUCCUCAAAUGUGUAUCAUCAAUUUAAUUAAACUAUAGUGAGCAACACAUUAGUCUUUUUUCAUUUUUUGUACGGGCAACAACAUAGUGCAAGGGUUAGAAUAUAUUUGCACGUAUAUGUUGCAUAAUAUAACAUGUGUAGAAGUUACAAAUGUGUUUGUGUUUCUUCAAUUUUGAGUUCAAAAUGAACGUCAUAAUUUCAAGUCCUUCAUCUAAUAGCUAAUAAUGACAAUUGACAUGCCAAAGAGGUGAAAGAAUUCAAGAGAUUAAGGCAUUGGAAAUGCACCAAUGGGGCUGGAAUUGUCUUUGAAAUUAAAAAGCUGUAGAAUUCGUCCUCUCUGAGAAAAACUUAGUUCUUCUCUGAAAAUUGGAUCACCCUCCCUCAAGGUCCUAUGGAUAAAUAUGAAUGUUUUCAAAGCUACUAUCAAUGCCAACCACAAAAAUAAUACAAACAAAGUUUAACAGGAAUCAAAACAUAUGUAUACAUCUACAUAAGCAUAUUAAUCCAUAAGUCAACGAUGAUCCAUAUACAGCCGAUAAGAAGAGUGUCAUAAAGUGUUGCAUUGUCCCAUGUAAACUGGGACAACAUUGAACCGGACCAGUAGAAGAUUCACUUCAGAAUAGUUAAAAUUAUAUAAACUUAUUUUUCCGUGUAAUUAUGCAAUCAAACUCUUGCAUUUACUUUCCUGCUCAUCCAUGGUAUCACAAAGUAGUGCACCACUGGCAAUGGAUUAAACAUUGCCCAAACAGCAAACACCAAGGCCUGUCUAACCAAUGAGGUUGCACGCACAGAUCCUGUCACACGACUCUGUUGUCUAAAUCAUCAUCACAUUGUAUGUAGUGAGGCAGUGAAAAAAAGACUACCUUGGUUCUUAGAUUAGAUGUUUAAGCUAAUAAGCAACCAAGACAUCGAUAUUUCGAAAUCCCAUGACUUUCGGCAAGUACUUACUAAAUCUUAAGUCCAUAUAACAACUGAAAACAUUUUGAAUUGCACCAAGACAGAAACCUAGCAACCAUACCUCGGCUAACCAACCAGCAAUGACUUCGAUUGACACAAAGGUCCGAAUCUGAUCCACGUUAACAAAAAAACCCACUCGCUAAAAUCAAUCCAAUACCUGUUUCACAAUUACAAACUGUGUUAAAAACCGAAAAUGGACGAAAAAGCAAAGAAGAAGCAUUCAAGAGAUUAAGGCAUUUAAAAAAUUAGACGAAGUGGACAUAGAUCAGAAAAAAGUUGGGGAGGGAAGUGAUAACUCUGCAGUGAGGCAGUAAAAAAUGAAUCCAACUAAUCCAAUCUAUUCCCUUUUGUCUACUGGCUAUUGUGCCACACGGUCCCAAAGUUUAGUCUUCUUUCUAAUUCCAUGUGUCUGGUAAAUGUGUCAAACCCAUUUGAAUAAAUACACUUGAAGAAAUUUCAAUGAGAAAAACGUAGGAAAAGUAAGUAUUCAAACUCUUCAAUGGAAAAGGAGAAGGCGCGGAGAAUUACCGUUUCACUCCGUUCUGGCCUCAGAGAGUGAGAGAGGUCUUCAUCGCAACAACUUUAUUUCCAUCACUAUAAACCAAAGCAUAAACCCUACAAACUUCCAUUACAGAUAGGAGGGAUUACAUAUGAACCUGUGCACUGAAAAAUUUAACAUCUAAAUUUUCUUAUUCGUGAAAAUUGAAAGGAAAACGGAUGACUGAAAUGGAAGAAAGACAAAAGCCCGAUCACAUACUCGAAAGGAACACGACAUAUAUAGCUGUAAACGUACCUUUGCAGACCUUCUCUUUGAGCUUUAGGAACCGGAAUUGCAUUUACUGUAAAUCCAAACUGUAAUGAAAACCCAAUGAGGGGAAUCCCUGAUCAAAACAACAUCCAUCCCUGAACGUGAUGAUUCAGUUUCAGCUGCAACAAUCCUUCCCUGAAAUUAUAGACCCUAUGCUAGCAGCCUAAAAUCCCAAAAACACAUAAUAAAAAAUUCAAAAUUUGAAGCGAUUUCACAAAUUGGGAUCAAUAAUCUGAAAACAUAGUUCAAUUUUUUAUUGCUUGGAUGGAGAAAAUUGAGAAAUGAAAGAAAAAAAGUUAGGUUUAGGAUUGAACUUGGUACUUGAACCAGAGACAGUUAGCCGAGGCCGGCGUUGUAAAGAGCUUGAGAAACCUUAUCGAAUACACUGAGGGGCGUCCACGAAAUGCUUUCUUCAAUGAAAAACGUAUCUCCUCCGUCCUUCCGGUACGCAACCGUGGUGGUGGUUCCGAACCAGCGGGAGUGGCUGAGUCAGAGCAAGCUGAUCCGAAACGAAGACGAAGCAUUAGAAAGAAUAGAGAAGUAGUGCUCGAAUUGGGAGAGGAGGUUGAUCGAUGUACGGAGAUCAAAAUUUUGUAACUGAACAAAUGAAGUGGAGAAGUUAUGAUAAAAGGUUGUGGGGGGUUUGAAAACUGCUACGCAGAAAACUGAACGUCCUGAACGUGGUGGGUUUUCAAUACAUAUUUCUGUGUGGUUAUUGUUUUUUUACCAGUUUAUCCUCAUUUUUUGAAAUUUUUUGGGUUUGGUUGUGAAUACAAAAAAGGGACUUUCUUGGCAUUUUGAAAUGCUUCACCUAUUUGGCCUUCUCCCUCUAUAUAUACUAGCCUCUCCGCAUGCACUAACGUGCAUGCGAGAGGCAUUUUUGCAUCACGGGCGCUACGCGCCCCUAAAGGUAUAUUGUGUUAUUUUUUUCCAUUGUAAUUGUCAAGAUAUAUUUUAAAUGUAUUGUGCAAAGAGGAACUUUUUUUUUUAUCAUGCACGUCCUAAAAAGUUGUCAUGUUUUUCGUUUUCACUUUGCGUAAAGUAAUGAUUUAAAUGUUAUUCAUGUAAUUGUCAAACAACAUGGGAUUUUGGAUGCAAGUUCCUACCUAAAGUUCAUGAACAAUAGUAAGUAGAUGUGAAUAAAAAAAGAGUAUAUGAAAACAUUAAGUACUCGUAGCAAAAUACAAAACAACUUAAAUGUCAAAAUAUAAAACCUAGAUCACAAUAUUUAUGUUAUUCACAAUACCCAUAAAGUCUAUAUGUCAUUGUUUAUUUUGAAAAGAAAAUUGACAUCAAUCCUGCAAUUUCCACCCAUUUGUUCCUGAUUGACGCUUCAAAUUUUCAUUGCCAAUCUACAAACAAUUGUGAGAAAAUUAAAAAUCAAAUAAAAAGAGUUAAUUCAUAAGUGAGAAAUGCAUAUUGAAAGGUUAUCAUUAAUAAAGUUGUUACCUAUUAGGAAUCACCAUAAUUAGCUGGAAUGAAGCAAGAUUUCUUUGUAUACUACAUUUCGUGUAUAGGUCUUCAUCUAUUUACCUAACUAUUGUGAUAGUUAAAAUAUAUUGGGAUCUUAUCUAUUGUUAAGAUGUUUGGUACGCGCCCCUAAAAAUGGUUUUGCUUUAAGAUGUUUUGCGUAUGUAAAAACACGGGGUAUUUCUAAAAAUUAGGCCAAAGUAGGUUCUUGGAGCCAAGUACAAAUGCUGAAUUUGUGCCAAUUUAAGUGGUGUGCAAAUUUUGGCUUUUAAUUUAAUACAAAUUCAUUUGAGGUCAGGCCAUGAAAAUAGCCUCUUUUUUUUCAAUUAAUGGUUGUUCACAAAUUUGUCACUUGAGGUGGAAAGAAAAAAAAAAGUUGUGUGUUUUCUUACACCUAACGCUAAAGUGCAAUGAAACACAAAAUAGGCUAGGAAAUCAUUCAUCAUAUAAGAAAGAACUUCGUACAUAAGCAAGACCAUCCAAAUAAGAUUUCAGGUAAAGAGAAUGGUGAUACAUGAAAUACAUAGUUAUUCUGAUUGUAUAUAGGAAUGAUGAAUAUGUAUUCGUCCAUAAAAAAAAAUGAAAAAUAGGAGAAAAGUACCAACUAACAGAAUCGAAGGGAGCUAAUGUAUUUACCCUCUAUUCUUUAUUUGUCCCUCUUCUUUCUUUGCAUUUAUGUUGGCAUCUUCAACAGCAUCAUACAAUCUCAGUUUCCUAUUGAGAAAAAACGGAGGCAUAUAUAUCAUCUUAUCCUCACAAUACCACAAAAUACAGCUCACUACAUAUUGGAUUCUCUUUGAACACUUUAUUUUACCAAAAUCUGUUAAAGAUGAGUUGAUUAAACUAUAAUUUGUUCUAUUUUUGUAGACCUGUAUGUUGAGUUGGUUAGAUUGGGGAUUCCAAUUUUUGGCUGGAAUUUGAAUGUAUAAUUGUUGGAUAAGAUCUAAGUCUUAUUGAUAAUAAGGAUCAUUACAUGUAUCACACAUAUGUUUUUAAUGAUAAUAAGGAACAUGAGGCUCCCCUAAUGUAGUGUUAUGAAGAAAGUGGAAAAGAUAAACUAAGUUCAUGAGGAUAUAGAUAGAAUAAAUAUUCAUGGAUAAGAUACCUUAAUGAUGUUCACGGUUUUAUGUCAAAAUGUGCAUUUUUCUGGAUAGGUCUUCAUCUAUUUAAUUAACUAUUGUGAUAGGUAAAAGUUGCUUAAUAUGCUCUAAAAUUAAUGUAAUUUAGUAAGGCAAAGUAAAAGCCAAAACCAAAAUGACAUAGUAAAUUCAGUGCAUAAUAUAUGUCCAAAAAUGCAAAUAGAUGCUUGUAAUUUAAUUGUUUAUUAUCUGUAAAUGGCAUUGAAAGCAUUACUUAUUUGGAACAAAGCAAUAAUACGAAUAAAUGGCUAAUAGUUAGGUAUAUACGAGCUAGAAACCUUUCUCUACAUACAAAAAAAUCUAACGAUGGGAAAAUUAAUCCACAAAUACUUAAUGCUAGCCUCUUCAAUCAAAUUCUACUUAACCCAAGACUAAUCCAAUCCUAAUUAGCGAACAUGACUUGAAAAUUUGCUGGCUUUCUUUAUCGUCAUGUAUGGCAAAUAGAUAGCAAGCGAAUGCUCAAACCUGGAAUGUGUAACCACUGGUAUUCUCCAUGUGUAUCACUCCCGAAACAUGUUAAAAGCUUUGGCAAGUAAGCAAACUGCAACAUCGAUACAAUGACAAACAGAACUUCAAUUACACAUUGCCAAACCGUCCAAAACUUUACUCAAUAAGAGAACAAUUAAAAUAUAUCAUAUUCUAAUAAAAAAAUUGUAAGGCCACAUCCACAUUGAAUCGUGCAUCUUUAGCAAAAACUUAAAAAAAAAAAAAUCAGAUUGCAAAACUGUCUAUGUAAAUACUUAAAGUCAUUGUAAAAGAAUAUACUAUAAUCGAACGAAGAGCAUAAAACUCACCAAGUUGAUUCAAGUCAUGAAGCCUGAAAUGUAAUGAAAUCAAUUCAUUUGCAGCAAACAACAUACACAUAUUUCUUUCGACACAGAGGUAUACAAAAACCAACCUACCUGUAAAACUCCUACGUAUCAAUAAACCGUACCCGACACCAACGGGCCACCAGUCUCAGCGACAAUGAAGCUGAAGCCGCCAAUCUCCGGUGGGAUGAAAACUCAGGAUGAAAAGUAGGUUCCUAAAGCUAUAAACAUCUUUAAAAUGAAACGGUGGGAGAAUUUGACUAAUCUUGUCUUUUUUGCAGAUUUUCUUUCCUUGUUCUUCCAUAAAGAUUCCAAAUCUUAUAAAUUCACCACCCAAAAACAAACUACUAAUCGUAGUAGUACAUUACACAAAACAGAGAGGUUUCUACAAAUUGGUCCAAAACCCAUUUAAAAAAUCUGGUAAAUAUAAAUAAUUUCGAAUAGUUCAAAUGACAAUCGAGUUAAAUACUCCAAAUUACUAUAUAUAUGAAAAUAAGGUCGUGAUGAACAAUUCAAUUAAGCAUAGAGUACCUAGAUUGAAGCAGAAAGUGAAAAUCUCUAGCGAAAACCCAUUUCAAAAAUCUGGCCAAGAUAAGGAUAAUAUUGUUCGAGAAAAUUAUCCAAUUUAUCUAAUGUUUUCAAAGCUACCUGCCAAUGACAAACACAAAAAUAAUACAAAGUUUAACAGGAAUCAGAACAUAUGUAUACAUAUACAUAAGCAUAUCAGUUCUUCCAACCUUCCAGUAGACACAAUAUAAUUAAAUUUACUUCCUGCAACUACUCAAAAACCACAAAACAAUCAAAUUUAUUUGCUACUCAGUAACCCAAUUUCCUAGCAACCAAACAAUAAUGAUAAAAUAUCCAAAAAUUGCUUUUUGGAAAAAGAGAAUAAUAAAAAAUAACUCACAUUUUUUCCUUUUACUUUCUCUCCUUUUUUCUUCACUGAUCUCCUCCUCUGCUUCUUAGUCUUCGAUUUUCCGACUCCACAAAACCCGAAAUUGACUACAAUAAACUUAAAACCCAUAAAAAACUUAAACAAAAGCAAAAAACCAAGGAAAGCACAGAAAAUACGAGAGUGAGUAUUAGAGAAAAUGCUUACCGGAUCGUCCUUGAAAGUUAGGAUUUCUGGGUUUUUAGUCUAAAAGAAUGAGUGCGCAUUCUUCCUCAGUGCAAUGUUUGAGAGAGAGAGUGAUGGAAGGUACCUAAGGCCACAAAAUGAAUAGCUAGAAAAAUACCACAGAAUGAAUAGAUAGAAAAAACAGUGUGCAGACGAUGGGACAAAAAAAAAUGGAUAUUGAAUAAAGAGGGAUAAUACUAACCAAUUUGUGUAAAUCCUAACAUUUAUUUUCAGGAUUGCCAGUUUCAGAUGAAGAAAUCAUACAUAAAAGGCGUGGAGGAGGGUGUUUUGUACGGAAGACAAAAAUGAGUUUGAGAAAAUCAUCCAAUUUUCCCUUUUGUAUGCUCUGUGGGGAUCGAGAACGUGUGAUAAAUGGCGGUUCCAUGUCGGGUCUGUCAACCGCAGCAGUUGCUGCUUUGAUCGUGCAAUACAUGGUUUCUGAUGUCUUUCUAGCAGUUGUGGAAUAAUUGAUCUAAAGGCUGAAAAUGAACUUAAAGUGUGAGUAUCUUAUCCAAUGGUUGUGAAUUAAUGUCGUUGAGAAUUCAGAAUUAUUACGUUUUUAACCCUAUUUUUUAGACAAUUAUUUUUUGGUUUUUUGUGUACGAAGUGAGGGCAUUCUUGGCAUUUCUGAAUGCUUCACCAAACUGGUCUUCUCCCUUUAUAUAUAUAGAUGAUAGAUGAUGAUGAAGAAGAAUACAUGUAUAUAUAUAUAUAUAUAUAUAUAUAUAUAUAUAUAUAUAGAGAGAGAGAGAGAGAGAGAGAGAGAGAGAGAGAUUGAGAGAAAGAGAGGAAUGAAUAAGGUCAUACUCCAUCAUCAUCGUCUAAAAAGAAAUCUAUUUACAGUUAAACUUUAAACCCAAAAUAUUAAAAAAAAACUUUAUGUUAUAAUUCUAGUUGAACUUUAAAUGUUUAUUUUCAUUAUCUUUAAGUCUAGUCGGAAUAUUUAUGUUAUGAUUGUGUUGGAUAUGUUAAAAUUUAGGGUAAAUUACAUAGUAGCCCAUCAGGUUUGAGGUCUAUUUGCAAUCUUAUACAACAUCUUUAAAACAUUUCACUUUUAUACCUCAAGUACUAUUUUAUUUCAAUUUCAUACAACCGUUACAUUUUUCAUCCAUGGAUCUGUUAAAUGCUGACGUAGCUGCCACAUAUAUGCCAUGUGGCUACCAAAUGUCUGCCACGUGGCAAAUAAAAUAAUUUUUUUUUAAAAAAACCGGAAAUUGGAAGGAAAAAAAAAGAAGAAGAAAGGGACCGAACCCAGAAGAAGAAGCAGGAAGAAGAAGAAGAGAAGAAGAAAGAGGAGGAGGAGGAAGAAGAAGAAGAAGAAGAAGAAAAAAGAAGAAGAAAGGGACCGAACCUAGAAGAGAAGAAGAAAGAGGAGGAAGAGAAGAAGAAAGACGAGCAGGAGGAAGAAGAAAAAGAAGAAGAAGAAGAAAAAAGAAAAAAAAAAGAAAGGGACCGAACCCAGAAGAGAAGAAGAAAGAGGAGGAAGAGAAGAAGAAGAAGAAAAGAAAAAAAAAAGAAAGGGACCGAGCCCAGAAGAGAAGAAGAAAGAGGAGGAUGAGAAGAAGAAAGAGGAGGAGGAGGAAGAAGAAGAAGAAAAGAAAAAAAGAAGGGACCGAACCAGAAGGAGGAAGAAGAAGAAGAGAAGAAGAAAGAGGAGGAGGAGGAAGAAGAAGAAAAAAAACAAAAAACAAAAAUGAUCGAAUCCCUUGCAACCCAGAAGAAGAAGGAAGAAGAAUGAGGAGGAGGAGGAGGAGGAAGAAGAAGAAGAAGAAAAAAAAAACCCCAGAAGAAGAAGAAGAAGAAGAAAGAGAGAAAAAAAAAAUGGCAGACAGGUUUAUUAAAAAAAAUUAAAAAAUUAUUUUUAUUUGCCACAUGGCAGACAUUUGGCAGCCACGUCAGCAUUUAAUAGAUCCAUAGAUGGAAAAUGUAACGGUUGUAUGAAAUUGAAAUAAAAUAGUACUUGAGGUAUGAAAGUGAAAUGUUUUAAAGAUGUUGUAUAAGAUUGCAAUAGACCUCAAACCUGAGGGGCUAUUAUGUAAUUUACCCUAAAAUUUAAGAUUUCAAAAUUUUUCAUUUUUUGAAAAAAAAAACCGAAACCAAACCGGAAAAAAUAAAAAAUAAAACCGAAAAAAAAUUGAACCGAACCGAAAUUUCGGUUCGGUUUCGGUUUUGGCAAAAAACCGAACCGAUUUCAACCGAACCCACCUCUAUUGGCAAUGACAUCCUAUCUAUUUUUAGUUAUCACUUAAGAAAUAUAAGAAUAUCUAAAGGAAAACAUUUUUGGGGCACGUAGCGCCCGUAAUGUAAAAAUAUCUCUCGCAUGAGCGUGAAAGCAUGCAGAGAUGCUAGUAAAACAAUAAAAUAAUGAAAACUAAUCAUUACGUACUCCUAGAAAUUGAAAUGUAACGGUUGUAUGAAAUUGAAAUAAAAUAGUACUUGAGGUAUGAAAGUGAAAUGUUUUAAAGAUGUUGUAUAAGAUUGCAAUAGACCUCAAACCUGAGGGGCUAUUAUGUAAUUUACCCUAAAAUUUAAGAUUUCAAAAUUUUUCAUUUUUUGAAAAAAAAAACCGAAACCAAACCGGAAAAAAUAAAAAAUAAAACCGAAAAAAAUUGAACCGAACCGAAAUUUCGGUUCGGUUUCGGUUUUGGCAAAAAACCGAACCGAUUUCAACCGAACCCACCUCUAUUGGCAAUGACAUCCUAUCUAUUUUUAGUUAUCACUUAAGAAAUAUAAGAAUAUCUAAAGGAAAACAUUUUUGGGGCACGUAGCGUCCGUAAUGUAAAAAUAUCUCUCGCAUGAGCGUGAAAGCAUGCAGAGAUGCUAGUAAAACAAUAAAAUAAUGAAAACUAAUCAUUACGUACUCCUAGAAAAUCUAAAACCGUAUGGUUUUGAAUAGAAUAAAAUAUUAAAAUAUUAAAGUAAAUUAUUAUUUCUAGGAUCUAGUAAUCGUACGGAUUUUGAAUUGAUUAAAAUAAUUUUAAAAUAAUAUUUUAUUAUUUGACUGACCUGUGUUUGAUAUAUUGAGUUAGCUAAAACAAUUAAAAAUAAAAUAAAAAAUUACUCAAACAAUUAGUAUUUUUAAGUUUAAAGAACUAAAACUCCCUAUCCUAAAGCCCAGCUUAACCUUGUUAGUAACUCCGUCAUUGGCUGUGUGGAUCAGCGGCUUCUCCAAUUAUGUUAAGUGUAAGAUUUAAGUACGAGGAUUUGGGACCUUAAUCAAUCAUUGUCUGUGCGGAACAACGGCUCUUGAGAAAGUUAGGUGUAAGAUUUUAUUUGAAAAGCAGUUAGGUACCAAUGCCCUUAAUUUAUUUAUAUACUGUUGUGUGUACCAACGGCUUCUUCAUUAAGGUAGGUUUAAGAUUUAAGUUUGAGAGUUUGGUACGUCAAUUCAUUAAACAAGAAAAUUAUUUUUCAAUUAUGAAAGUCGAUGCCCACAUUAGUUUGUUAGUAUCUGAAUAUUUCAAAAAGGCUACAGUAAUAGCUUUUCAUUAUAUGAAAUUUUCAAAAAGAGCGAUCACUCCACUUUUUGAUUUUUAUCACGGAUGUGACUCCACGUAAAAAGCACUUUGUGUGUAAUUACAACACACGAUUGAAAUAAAAGAAGUAAAAACAAUAAUAUCAGUAUCCCUCUUUUCUUCUUUCCUGCAAUCUUUUGUGUUAUGGUUAUGAAACUAAAUAGUGUGAUAUCUUGCAUCCGCUUCUCUCCCGUCCCUCGCGAAGGCUAUCUCACUAACUUUUUUAUUUAUAACAAAAAUUACAUACAGAGUUUUACAAAGGAUUUUCCCUUUCGGAAAGCUCCUUGAAAAGCUUAAGAUUUUAUAAACAUACCUUAAAAACACCCUCCAAAGACACAUAACAGGAGAAGAACUAAUUUAUCAGUUACAUUAUUUAUGAAAUUGAACUAUAUAUGCAGCAGGUUGGUAAAGAAAAGCACAAGCCUUAGGACGCGUUUACUAAUCCGUAAUCAGAUUGAAGGGAAUUGAAUUGAGGAUGAAUCAGAUUGAGGAGGAAUUGGAUUGAAGAUGAGUUAGAAUCAGAUUCUUAUUAAAAAUGUUUACUAAAACUUUCUGGAAUCAGAGUAAGAAUGACAUUUAUCUAUAUAAACUGUUUACUAGUUCACAUGAAUCGGAAUAUAAACUAAUAUGAUUACUAAAAUACCCUUGUUAUAUUAAAUUAUUUUUAUAUGCCGAUUAAAAGAAAGUCAAAUGAUAUAAAAUAAAAUUAAAAAGCAAACUAACCAAUUACCAAACCCCAACCUAAUUGUUCCUCUCCUUCUCCUCCUUUCUCAUCUUUCAACAGUUUGAAAUUGAAGGUGGGUUUGUGGCCGAUGGGCAGUGGUGGUGGUGGCGAUGAUGUUGAAGGAUUAGUUUACAGGGCUGUGAUUUCAUGUUGGCUUGGUGUGGAGGCUUGGUUUUUGACAUUUUGUUCAUAAAAUACCUAAUAAAAUUGCAGCAAGGUUCUUCUUGGUUUUUGGUUUGAUCUACAUUUGUAAUUUAAUUGUUGUGGAAGAUGAUGGUGGCCGAGUUUAUGUCCUGGGAAAGGCAAUGGAUGUGCGACGGUGGUGAUGGAGAAGGAGAGGGAUAACACUAUGGACGAGAGCUUGGGUUUCUUUGGAAUUUCCACUUUUAUGCGAGGGCACAAUGGGUAAGAAAAAUGGAUUCCUCGCCCCCUCAAUUGUCACAUCCCAGCCCGAGGCCUCACCACAUCCCGGACUCGACUUUGCCGUAGCACAAUAUUGUCCACUUUGGGCCCCGACCAUGCCCUCACGGUUUUGUUUCUGGGAACUCACACGAGAACUUCCCAGUGGGUCACCCAUCAUGGGAUUGCUCUCGCACGAACUAGCUUAACUUCGAAGUUCUAAUGGAACCCGAAGCCAGUGAGCUCUCAUAAGGCCUCGCGUUAGGUAGAGAUGAGAAUAUACAUAUAAGGCUUACAUGAUUCACUCCCCUGAGAGAUGUGGGAUGUCACAAUCCACCCCCCUUAAAGGCCCGACGUCCUCGUCGGCACACUUCCGGCCAAGGAUUGGCUCUGAUACCAAAUUGUCACAUCCCGGCCUGGGCCCCCACCACAUCUCGGACUCGACUCUGUCGUAGCACGAUAUUGUCCACUUUGGGCCUUUACCACGCCCUCACGGUUUUGUUUCUGGGAACUCACACGAGAACUUCCCAAUGGGUCACCUAUCAUGGGAUUGCUCUCGUGCGAACUCGUUUAACUUCAGAGUUCCGUUAGAACCCGAAGCCAGUGAGCUUCCAAAAGGUCUCGUGCUAGGUAGAGAUGAGAAUAUACAUAUAAGACUUACAUGAUCCACUCCCCUGGGCGAUGUGGGAUGUCACAUCAUUCCUCCGGAAUCCAAAUACCAUCCCAUAGUUAGGAGUCCAAUUGCUCCAAAUUUCGGAAUUGGAUUCCAAAAUUUGUGUGGGACCCACUAAUUUUUUAUUCCCUUAGAUUUGGUAAACACCGGAGUAUUCCGUAAUUAGAAUUCAAUUCUGUUUCUUGAUGCCGAUUAUCCUUACGUAAACGUGCCCUAAGUGCCUAACACACACACACUCCCUGUAAUGGUUGGAGAGAAAAGGUCAGAGAUUGAUUUAUAAAAUAGAAAACUUUAUUUUAAUCCUUAAAAAAGAUGAGUUUUAAAUUAUAACCUUAUAUAAGAUUAAAAUCUAAUUUUAAUCUAUGAUACAUUUAAUCAUCUCAUUUAUUAAUUACAUUUUGAUGUUUUAUUUCUUUUUUCUUUCUUUCCUAUUUUAAAUGUAUUAAUUACAUUUAAUUUUCAUUUUCAUUUCAGUCAUCAUAAUAUAUUUUGAUGUCUCCAUUUAGGUAAACUAAUUUUUUAUAUAAUAUAUUCGAAUACAAUUUGUAUAAUCUUUCAUUUAGAUACAUUAAUUCAUUUGAUAUAUUUCAGUAUAUCCAUCGAUACAAAUAUAUAGGUACAUUAAUUCAAUAUAAUGCAUUUCGGUACGUAAAUUUUGGUACACUAAUUCAAUAUAAUAUAUUUUAGUACAUACAUUUCGGUAUUGAUAUUUAAGUACAGUAAUUCAAUAUAAUACAUUUUGGUACAUACAUUUAGAUUCAUUAUAAUAUAUGUAAGUACAAACAUUUCGAUACAGUCAUUUAUGUACACAUAUAUUUACAUAUUUAUGUGUCACUAAUUUCUUUUAAUAUUUUCUCGUUUAUGUUCAUUUAUAAUUGAAAGAACUAAUAUGUGCAUAUCAAUAAAAUUAAAAUUUUAAUGUGAAGACAUUAAAUAACAAAAAUAGAAUAUAAAUCUUAAUAAAAGUACAGAGAUUAAAUUAAAUAUGUAAUCUAGCAUCAAGGUUUUUUUUUUUUUUUUUUUUUUAAUUCUAAUAUUUUGCAAGGACUAAUGUUCAAAAACCCCUUCCCCUUAUAAAAUUAGGCACAGAGAUUGUGACAUAUGCCCUAGCUUCCAAUUAGCUAGUAUAAAUAAAGAACUUUUGUGAUUGAUUAGUCACAACAUUUUCAAGCCAAGCAACCACAUAAUCCCUCUAAUGGAGCAGAGCAAACACCGGAGAGUGAUACUCUUCCCCUUGCCUUUUCCUGCAUCACAUAUAAACCCAAUGCUGCAACUGGCCAACAUUCUACACACCAAAGGCUUCUCCAUAACCAUUAUCCACACCAACUUCAACUCUCAUAACUUCAACCCAUCAGCCCAUCCACACUUCACGUUUAUCUCAAUCCCUGACGGCUUAUCUGAAUCCGAGGCGGCCACCAAUAACAUUCUCCAUCUUUUUUCUCUUCUGAAUGUCAAAUGUGUUGAACAGUUCCGCGAAUGCUUGGCUAGCUUGUUAUCUGCUGACGCUAACUCAGAGGAGCCUAUUGCUUGCUUAAUUUCUGAUGCUAUCUUUCACUUCACACAACCUGUUGCUGAGAGCCUCAAGCUCCCAAGGCUUGUGCUAGAGACCAUGGGUGCCACUUCCACUGCUGUUUAUUAUGCAUUUCCUCUUCUGCGUGAAAGGGGUUACCUUCCCAUACAAGGUACAACCCUACAAGCAAUUUCAUUCUUAACAUUGCAUAUCAGUUAAUUCGAAAAAUUUAUGUGUAGCACGGUCACGUGAUAUUACUAAUUCAUGUAUACUAAUGUGACAACUAAUAUUUAGUUAAUUGUUUUCCCAAUAGAUUAUCGACUAGAAGAGCUGGUAAAGGAGCUUCCACCUCUCAAAGUCAAAGACCUUCCGGUGGUUAAAGGGUGCGAUGCCGAUAAAUAUUUUGAGUUCAUUGUUUACUUGUUAAGUAUAACUCAGGCCUCAGAUGGACUGAUUUUCAAUACUUUUGAAGACUUUGAAGAAACUUCACUGGCCAAAAUACGCCACGAAUAUCUACCCAAUACUCCAAUUUUCCCAAUAGGCCCAUUUCACAAGUAUUCCCCUUCCCCUUCUUCAAAUAGCCUAUUGUCACAAGACCAAAGUUGCAUUUCAUGGCUAAACACUCAAGCACCAAAGUCAGUUGUUUAUGUGAGUUUUGGGACCGUUGCCAAAAUGGAAGAAGCUCAAUUUUUGGAGAUAGCUUGGGGACUAUGCAAUAGCAACCAACCCUUCUUGUGGGUUCGACCUGAUUUAGUCCAUGGAUCGAAUUGCCUCGAACAAUUACCUAGUGGGUUUGUCGAGACUUUGAACGGGAGGGGACACAUUGUGAAAUGGGCGUCACAAAAUGAUGUGUUGGCCCAUCCGGCAGUUGGAGCCUUUUGGACCCAC